rnacentral:rRNA from 1 species
AACGAACGCUGGCGGCAUGCCUAACACAUGCAAGUCGAACGAGACCUUCGGGUCUAGUGGCGCACGGGUGCGUAACACGUGGGAAUCUGCCCUUUGCUUCGGAAUAACAAUUAGAAAUGACUGCUAAUACCGGAUGAUGUCGAAAGACCAAAGAUUUAUCGGCAAAGGAUGAGCCCGCGUAGGAUUAGGUAGUUGGUGGGGUAAAGGCCUACCAAGCCGACGAUCCUUAGCUGGUCUGAGAGGAUGAUCAGCCACACUGGGACUGAGACACGGCCCAGACUCCUACGGGAGGCAGCAGUGGGGAAUAUUGGACAAUGGGCGAAAGCCUGAUCCAGCAAUGCCGCGUGAGUGAUGAAGGCCUUAGGGUUGUAAAGCUCUUUUACCAGGGAUGAUAAUGACAGUACCUGGAGAAUAAGCGCCGGCUAACUCCGUG